GAGUUUGAUCAUGGCUCAGAACGUACGCUGGCGGCACGCCUAACACAUGCAAGUCGAACGAAGUAGCAAUACUUAGUGGCAGACGGGUGAGUAACAUGUAGGUAUCUGCCCUUUGGCCUGGAAUAACACGAGGAAACUUGUGCUAAUACCGGAUAAGUCUUUACGGAGAAAGCUUUAUGCACCAUUGGAUGAGCCUGCACUUGAUUAGUUUGUUGGUGGGGUAAUGGCCUACCAAGACUGUGAUCAAUAGCUGAUUUGAGAGGAUGAUUAGCCACAUUGGGACUGAGACACGGCCCAAACUCCUACGGGAGGCAGCAGUGGGGAAUCUUGCACAAUGGAGGAAACUCUGAUGCAGCGAUGCCGCGUGAGUGAAGAAGGCCCUUGGGUUGUAAAGCUCUUUCGUCGGGGAAGAAAAUGACUGUACCCGAAUAAGAAGGUCCGGCUAACUUCGUGCCAGCAGCCGCGGUAAUACGAAGGGACCUAGCGUAGUUCGGAAUUACUGGGCUUAAAGAGUUCGUAGGUGGUUGAAAAAGUUAGUGGUGAAAUCCCAGAGCUUAACUCUGGAACUGCCAUUAAAACUUUUCAGCUAGAGCAUGAUAGAGGAAAGCAGAAUUUCUAGUGUAGAGGUGAAAUUCGUAGAUAUUAGAAAGAAUACCAAUUGCGAAGGCAGCUUUCUGGAUCAUUACUGACACUGAGGAACGAAAGCAUGGGUAGCGAAGAGGAUUAGAUACCCUCGUAGUCCAUGCCGUAAACGAUGUGUGUUAGACGUUGGAAAUUUAUUUUCAGUGUCGCAGGGAAACCGAUAAACACACCGCCUGGGGAGUACGACCGCAAGGUUAAAACUCAAAUGAAUUGACGGGGACCCGCACAAGUAGUGGAGCAUGUGGUUUAAUUCGAAGAUACGCGCAGAACCUUACCAACACUUGACAUGUUCGUCGCGACUCUAAGAGAUUAGAGUUUUCGGUUCGGCCGGACGAAACACAGGUGCUGCAUGGCUGUCGUCAGCUCGUGUCGUGAGAUGUUGGGUUAAGUCCCGCAACGAGCGCAACCCUCACUUUUAGUUGCCAUCAUUAAGUUGGGCACUCUGAAAGAACUGCCAGUGAUAAGCUGGAGGAAGGUGGGGAUGACGUCAAGUCCUCAUGGCCCUUACGUGUUGGGCUACACACGUGCUACAAUGGUAUCUACAACAGGAAGCAAAACUGCGAAGUUAAGCAAAUCCCUAAAAGAUACCUCAGUUCGGAUUGCACUCUGCAACUCGAGUGCAUGAAGCUGGAAUUACUAGUAAUCGUGGAUCAGCGUGCCACGGUGAAUGCGUUCCCGGGUCUUGUACACACCGCCCGUCACACCAUGGGAGUUGGUUCUACCUUAAGGCAAGGUUUUAAACCCUUGACCACGGUAUAGUCAGCGACUGGGGUGAAGUCGUAACAAGGUAACC
rnacentral:rRNA from 1 species